rnacentral:rRNA from 1 species
CGACUGUCUAAUUAAAACAAAGCAUUGCGAUGGCCGCUGGUCGGUGUUGACGCAAUGUGAUUUCUGCCCAGUGCUCUGAAUGUCAACGUGAAGAGAUUCAUCAAAGCGCGGGUAAACGGCGGGAGUAACUAUGACUCUCUUGGACGCGGCUGCUGAUAGUCCCUGUGGUUGAACG